rnacentral:rRNA from 1 species
GUGAGUAACACGUGAGUAACCUGCCCUUGACUUCGGGAUAACUCCGGGAAACCGGGGCUAAUACCGGAUAUGAGCCGUCCUCGCAUGGGGGUGGUUGGAAAGUUUUUCGGUCAGGGAUGGGCUCGCGGCCUAUCAGCUUGUUGGUGGGGUGAUGGCCUACCAAGGCGACGACGGGUAGCCGGCCUGAGAGGGCGACCGGCCACACUGGGACUGAGACACGGCCCAGACUCCUACGGGAGGCAGCAGUGGGGAAUAUUGCACAAUGGGCGAAAGCCUGAUGCAGCGACGCCGCGUGAGGGAUGACGGCCUUCGGGUUGUAAACCUCUUUCAGCAGGGAAGAAGCGCAAGUGACGGUACCUGCAGAAGAAGCGCCGGCUAACUACGUGCCAGCAGCCGCGGUAAUACGUAGGGCGCAAGCGUUGUCCGGAAUUAUUGGGCGUAAAGAGCUCGUAGGCGGUUUGUCGCGUCUGGUGUGAAAACUCGAGGCUCAACCUCGAGCUUGCAUCGGGUACGGGCAGACUAGAGUGCGGUAGGGGAGACUGGAAUUCCUGGUGUAGCGGUGGAAUGCGCAGAUAUCAGGAGGAACACCGAUGGCGAAGGCAGGUCUCUGGGCCGCAACUGACGCUGAGGAGCGAAAGCAUGGGGAGCGAACAGGAUUAGAUACCCUGGUAGUCCAUGCCGUAAACGUUGGGCACUAGGUGUGGGGCUCAUUCCACGAGUUCCGUGCCGCAGCAAACGCAUUAAGUGCCCCGCCUGGGGAGUACGGCCGCAAGGCUAAAACUCAAAGGAAUUGACGGGGGCCCGCACAAGCGGCGGAGCAUGCGGAUUAAUUCGAUGCAACGCGAAGAACCUUACCAAGGCUUGACAUGCACGGGAAGCCACCAGAGAUGGUGGUCUCUUUGGACACUCGUGCACAGGUGGUGCAUGGUUGUCGUCAGCUCGUGUCGUGAGAUGUUGGGUUAAGUCCCGCAACGAGCGCAACCCUCGUCCCAUGUUGCCAGCGGGUUAUGCCGGGGACUCAUGGGAGACUGCCGGGGUCAACUCGGAGGAAGGUGGGGAUGACGUCAAAUCAUCAUGCCCCUUAUGUCUUGGGCUUCACGCAUGCUACAAUGGCCGGUACAAAGGGCUGCGAUACCGUAAGGUGGAGCGAAUCCCAAAAAGCCGGUCUCAGUUCGGAUUGGGGUCUGCAACUCGACCCCAUGAAGUCGGAGUCGCUAGUAAUCGCAGAUCAGCAACGCUGCGGUGAAUACGUUCCCGGGCCUUGUACACACCGCC